rnacentral:rRNA from 1 species
GAUGAACGCUGGCGGCGUGCCUAAUACAUGCAAGUCGAGCGAACGGACGAGAAGCUUGCUUCUCUGAUGUUAGCGGCGGACGGGUGAGUAACACGUGGAUAACCUACCUAUAAGACUGGGAUAACUUCGGGAAACCGUAGCUAAUACCGGAUAAUAUUUUGAACCGCAUGGUUCAAAAGUGAAAGACGGUCUUGCUGUCACUUAUAGAUGGAUCCGCGCUGCAUUAGCUAGUUGGUAAGGUAACGGCUUACCAAGGCAACGAUGCAUAGCCGACCUGAGAGGGUGAUCGGCCACACUGGAACUGAGACACGGUCCAGACUCCUACGGGAGGCAGCAGUAGGGAAUCUUACGCAAUGGGCGAAAGCCUGACGGAGCAACGCCGCGUGAGUGAUGAAGGUCUUCGGAUCGUAAAACUCUGUUAUUAGGGAAGAACAUAUGUGUAAGUAACUGUGCACAUCUUGACGGUACCUAAUCAGAAAGCCACGGCUAACUUCGUG